GUGGGCCGGCCGGGUGAGUACGGAAGAAGGCCCGCACCCCGGGAUCCCGGGGUGCGGGCCUUCUUCCGUACGCCGUCGCUCUAG
rnacentral:pre_miRNA from 1 species